UUUAAAGGAUAAAAGACA
rnacentral:tRNA from 1 species